rnacentral:lncRNA from 1 species
UACGUCUCACAAGGUCUGAUGGUUUUAAAAAGGGUAGUUUCCCUGCAGAAGCUCUCUCUUUCUCUGCUUCCAUCCAGCUGAGACAUGACUUGCUUUUUCUUGCCUUCUAACAUGAUUGUGAGGCUUCCUCAGCUACGUGGAAAUAAACUCCUGGAGGGCAGAUGCAUGCCUGCCAUCUUCAUCGUUUCAUUACCACCAUCCAACACUAUCGGGGGACCUGCCCUGAUAAUCAGCAUGUAACGAGGCUCAACACAACUCUGUAUGGGAACAGUCAGGUUGGAGUCUACAGGUGUAUCCAGCAGCUCCAGAGAGACAGCGACCAGCGAGAAGGGGCCAUGAUGAUGGUGGUGGUUUUGUCAAAAUGAAAAGGGGGAUAUGUAGGGAAAAGAAAGAGAGAUCAGACUGUUACUGUGUCUACAUAGAAAGGGAAGCCAUAAGAGACUCCAUUUUG